rnacentral:rRNA from 1 species
UACUGAGUUUACGCUCUACAACCCUUUGUGAACAUACCUAUAACUGCUUGCUUCGGCGGGUAGGGUCUCCGUGACCCUCCCGGCCUCCCGCCCCCGGGCGGGUCGGCGCCCGCCGGAGGAUAACCAAACUCUGAUUUAACGACGUUUCUUCUGAGUGGUACAAGCAAAUAAUCAAAACUUUUAACAACGGAUCUCUUGGUUCUGGCAUCGAUGAAGAACGCAGCGAAAUGCGAUAAGUAAUGUGAAUUGCAGAAUUCAGUGAAUCAUCGAAUCUUUGAACGCACAUUGCGCCCGCCAGCAUUCUGGCGGGCAUGCCUGUUCGAGCGUCAUUUCAACCCUCAAGCUCUGCUUGGUGUUGGGGCCCUACAGCUGAUGUAGGCCCUCAAAGGUAGUGGCGGACCCUCCCGGAGCCUCCUUUGCGUAGUAACUUUACGUCUCGCACUGGGAUCCGGAGGGACUCUUGCCGUAAAACCCCCAAUUUUCCAAAGGUUGACCUCGGAUCAGGUAGGAAUACCCGCUGAACUUAAGCAUAUCAAUAAGCGGAGGAAAAGAAACCAACAGGGAUUGCCUCAGUAACGGCGAGUGAAGCGGCAACAGCUCAAAUUUGAAAUCUGGCCCUAGGCCCGAGUUGUAAUUUGCAGAGGAUGCUUUUGGUGCGGUGCCUUCCAAGUUCCCUAGAACGGGACGCCAGAGAGGGUGAGAGCCCCGUACAGUUGGACACCAAGCCUUUGUAAAGCUCCUUCGACGAGUCGAGUAGUUUGGGAAUGCUGCUCAAAAUGGGAGGUAUAUUUCUUCUAAAGCUAAAUACCGGCCAGAGACCGAUAGCGCACAAGUAGAGUGAUCGAAAGAUGAAAAGCACUUUGAAAAGAGGGUUAAACAGCACGUGAAAUUGUUAAAAGGGAAGCGCUUGUGACCAGACUUGCGUCCGGUGAAUCACCCAGCUCUCGCGGCUGGGGCACUUCGCCGGCUCAGGCCAGCAUCAGCUCGCUGUCGGGGACAAAAGCUUCAGGAACGUAGCUCUCUUCGGGGAGUGUUAUAGCCUGUUGCAUAAUACCCUUCGGCGGGCUGAGGUACGCGUCCG